GACGAACGCUGGCGGCGUGCUUAACACAUGCAAGUCGAACGGGCCCGCUCUCUUUUUUGGGGGUGGGUUGAGUGGCGAACGGGUGAGUAUCACGUGAGUAACCUGCCCCCUGCUCCUGGAUAACUGCUUGAAAGGGCGGCUAAUACGGGGUGUGCCGGCUGGUCCGCAUGGGCCUGGUCGGGAUAGUUUCAUCUUCGGGUGUUUCGGUGGGGGAUGGGCUCGCGGCCUAUCAGCUUGUUGGUGGGGUGAUGGCCCACCAAGGCGGUGACGGGUAGCCGGCCUGAGAGGGUGGGCGGCCACACUGGGACUGAGACACGGCCCAGACUCCGGCGGGAGGCAGCAGUGGGGGGUAUUGAGCAAUGGGCGGAAGCCUGAUGCAGCGACGUCGCGUGAGGGAUGGAGGCCUUCGGGUUGUGAACCUCUUUCUCCGGUGGUGAAGGCCCUGUCCGUUGCGGCGGGGUUGACGGUAGCCGGGUAUGAAGCGCCGGCUAACUACGUG
rnacentral:rRNA from 1 species